UGGGGAAUCUUGCGCAAUGGCCGAAAGGCUGACGCAGCGACGCCGCGUGUGGGAGGAAGCCCUUCGGGGUGUAAACCACUGUUGCCCGGGACGAAUAGCUCCUUCAUGGAGCCUGACGGUACCGGGUGAGGAAGCACCGGCUAACUCCGUGCCAGCAGCCGCGGUAAUACGGAGGGUGCGAGCGUUGUCCGGAAUCACUGGGCGUAAAGGGCGCGUAGGUGGCUUGGCAAGCGUGUGGUGAAAGCCCGGGGCUCAACCCCGGGUCUGCCGUGCGAACUGCUAUGGCUCGAGCACUGUAGAGGCAGGUAGAAUUCCGGGUGUAGCGGUGGAAUGCGUAGAGAUCCGGAAGAAUACCGGUGGCGAAGGCGGCCUGCUGGGCAGUGGCUGACACUGAGGCGCGACAGCGUGGGGAGCAAACAG
rnacentral:rRNA from 1 species